rnacentral:tRNA from 1 species
GCCGAGGUGGCGGAAUUGUUAGAUGUGCUAGCUUCAGGUGCUAGUGAGUGAAAUCUCGUGGAGGUUCAAAUCCUCUUCUCGGUACCA